rnacentral:rRNA from 1 species
AGUGAACGCUGGCGGUAGGCCUAACACAUGCAAGUCGAACGGCAGCACAGUAAGAGCUUGCUCUUACGGGUGGCGAGUGGCGGACGGGUGCGGAAUACAUCGGAAUCUACUUUUUCGUGGGGGAUAACGUAGGGUAACUUACGCUAAUACCGCAUACGACCUACGGGUGAAAGCAGGGGAUCUUCGGACCUUGCGCGAUUGAAUGAGCCGAUGUCGGAUUAGCUAGUUGGCGGGGUAAAGGCCCACCAAGGCGACGAUCCGUAGCUGGUCUGAGAGGAUGAUCAGCCACACUGGAACUGAGACACGGUCCAGACUCCUACGGGAGGCAGCAGUGGGGAAUAUUGGACAAUGGGCGCAAGCCUGAUCCAGCCAUACCGCGUGGGUGAAGAAGGCCUUCGGGUUGUAAAGCCCUUUUGUUGGGAAAGAAAAGCAGCAGGUUAAUACCCCGCUGUUCUGACGGUACCCAAAGAAUAAGCACCGGCUAACUUCGUG